GAUCGAUGGCUUGAGUGAAAUUGUUCAGAUUGCAGAUCAAAGGCUCUGGAUGUUUAAUAUGCAGAUUAUGGGGUUAGAGAAGAAAAAUUCAGCCUUAAUUGCUGUUUUAAACAAGAAAUCGAAAGAAGAACAUCGUCAGAGACCUGACAAACACAAGACUACAGAGAACAGCUAAAGUUCUUUGCAUAAUGAGUGAAACACAAAGCUGUCAGUGAACGGAAUGAAUCGUCAUAGUAUUCAUUUCAAUUGUAUAAAUAAUUCUAUUUACAAGAAUUGGAUGUAUUAGUGUACUUUAAAAUAUAUUAAUGUGGUGAAUGAGAUAAUCUAGAAAUCUAGGGUUUGAAGUGCAAGUUGCUUAAGAAUAUCUUUCUCAAGUUGCAUAAUUUAAAUGUAUUCUCCAUAAUAAAUAAUUCAUUGAGUAAUCAAUUUUGCAUAUGCUCACUACACAGAUAUUUGGUGAAAUAUAAUAAUAGGGGUUAGAAAUGAAAGACUUUUUAUUUUGACAUAUGAACUAUAAGGUUUAUAACCUCAUAAAAUAUGUUGAAUU